ensembl:lncRNA
GCAUCACUAAGAAUAGCUAGAGACAGUGAUGUAUGAGCCUAAGUAGAAAGCUGUCAUUACAAUGACUCCUCUCUUGCCAUGGACCUCCAUCAGGAAUCAGAAAAAGAAUGGUCUGGAGAAUUUCCUCUGGAAAUUUGGGACGGAAGGUGUGGGAAAGAAAAAGCUGAGUGACCUUCAGCUUCAUCUUUGCUGCACCUCCAGUGGUAAUAAGCAUGUCAAAGAAAAAAUGAAGAUAAUUCCACUUUCCCCAGGAACUUAGUCUGCCCAUUAAUUGAGUUGCAUUUCUUUAAGCUCAUGGUUUACUUCUGGGAAAGAAAUCUCUAAUUCAGCAUAGCAGUUGCCCUGUUCAGCUUGGAAGUCAGUGGUUCAUGAAGACCGUGCCUGUCUAGCCAGUCGGGUUUUGGGAUUCUCAUGCUGGGACACAUGUCGGACUCUGCAGAUGGCAUAGAGCUAAUGUAUGCUGCAGAUUCACACCCGGUAGCAGUUGCUUCUGAAACCACUGCCUCUUAGCUCCCUAUACCACAAAUAAAAUUACUUAUUCUGCACAAGCAAAAAACUUUCUGCUUGGUUUCUUGUUGGAAACAGAAAUCUUCCCUUUAUCUAGCAAAGAAAAGGCGCACCUUUGUGUUCAUUCCAUGUGUGUGAAGAGCCUUCUCAAGUGUAUAUAAUUCACCCAGCAUCUCUUCAGGCAUCAGUCUCUCAUCCUACUGAGAAAGGAAUGUUACAAAGCCAUCUGUAAGAGGAGCAGAAUUACAUGAACCCGAAUAAACGACUGCCUUAACUACUCCAAAACCCACAAUCAGGGUACCUGAUAAUCAUUCAGAAAAGAAGCAGACUUGUGAUCCCAGCUUUUUUAACUGACACCAUCUGCCUCUUAGUCUCUUUCUCCUGCUGACACCAACAGGUUUUCACCUUCUGGUUCACGAACACCUUGCCAGAAUAAUUUCCAUCCCUGGCUGGAACCAGGCUGCCUUUUUCCUCACUCUGUCGUGCCUCAGGCAGAGCUUUCCCAGGAGCAGUGCUGGAAGACAGGAGGUCCUCCUCUGUCCUGGAGUGGCUGUGAACAUCUCUGGCACUGCUGUGUCAUGCACCUUUGUUUCUGGAGAGCAGAGUGGAAGGGUGGGUGAAGCAGGAAUGUGGAUCUGCCCACUGCUCAUAAGUACCUACCUGCAGACUUAGCACCAGCGAGGCACCUCCCCUCACACAGGGGAGCAGUGGGAAACCUGGCUCUUAAUAAAAGAAGGCUUUCAAAAGGCUGGCAGAGUGAACAAUGUCAGGCUUGAAACUUAAACGUUGCACUGGUUAUUUGGUGUUCCUACGGUGAAAGACCACAUUCCACAUACAAGAUGUAAAAGAUUAUUUUUCUUCAAAUUUGGGCACAUCUGUGGCCAUCAUAUUUCACUGAUAAGAGCCAGGCAAAAGGAAAACAGAUUGUCUCACACAGUGCUGUCUCGGUGUACCUUCUCCUUCUAUGUACCAGUUAUCUGAACCUGUCCUCUGUUGUCUCAUGAGCUGUUGAUGAUUACAUCUAAUACAUUAUCUUUUAAACCCAGCAUGAAGCUAAUUACUGCCACCUAUAUCUCCAGGCACCUUGACUGCAGCUCUGAUUAUUCUUAGCUUUAUAUCAAGAAACCCCACUGACCCCUUACUGUAUGAAUUCCUCAUUUAUAGAUUUUUCUGUGCUGUGCAUGUAUUUCAGGCACAUCUUUACAGAAGGAAAUGCAGUCAAGGCCAGUUGUUUGCUGUAAGCAGAAACCUCCAUUUCUUGCUUUCCCUAAAUGCUUUCUAAUAAAAUUUGUGUUGGAACAUUGUUCUAAGAGCAUCCCUAUAAGGAAUAAUUCCAGUGACCUCAGCAAAUUACCUGUGAAUGAAUCUCACAUCAGCAAGGAAAGGGCAUUUUCUGCCUCUUUUUGGAGGUUUAGUUUUGCUGCCAGGGAGAAGGCUUUGACCUUCCCCUUUUGGGUACCAUACUUAUUAUUUGUUCAGCAUUCCUUCACAAAACUUCAGAAGUGCAAAAUAUGCCUUUCUUCACAUAGUGAUGACAAGCUGUCAGUAAUGAAGGGCACGUUGUUCUGCCCUACAGUCCCAUGGAGGACGGUGCACCCACACCAUGGCAGUUUAGGGAUUAGGGGAACACCGGAGUUCUUUGCUUGAAUUUAUAAAGUUUGGCAGGGACAGUUCUCCAGGACUUCCUUGAAAGAGUGAAAAAAUAAAAUACUCUUUAAACCAGAAACCCUCUCUUUGUCCUUGUUUCUCUAAUUAGACUAGGGGCAGUCCUUAAUGCCAUGAGCCUCAGGUGAAGACAAGCAAAAUGCAAGUUUGUGUGAACUGAGGUCAAAUGUAAUAGAAGAUGUUUUGACUGGAUUGGCUUACAAUGUAUCAGUAAGGAUGAUAUUUUCAAGUUGUGGGGUCUGGUGUACUUCACCCUACACCAUUUAAGAUCCUGUCUAAUUGUAUUUGCAUUAACCAC